AUUCGCCUCACCGAGACACGGAACAGUCGGUCUGAUAUUCAUGAAUUUUGGGACGUGGAUUAAAAAGGACAUUCUCUGAUAAUCCGAGCGGACGCCAGGCCUAAUGACUGAAAUGUUUGUGGAUCCGACUGUAAUCUGUCAGUGUUCGUCGAGGCCUGGUUUGGCGUCUUGUACUUGACCAAUGAGUAGGCCGCAGUGAUGACAAGGAGGCCGCUGGAGGGCCAAGUUUGAAAUGGCUGCGUUGGUUAUUCGAGCAGCACACAAGGAGUGACCCGACCGUGGCCUCUCAGCGGCGGUUUGUUUGGUUGUUGGCGUCCCUGAAACACCUGAGGAGCUAUAAUGGCGUCUGGAACUAGCAGCUGAUCGAUUAUGGACAACAAGGCCUACUUUACCUACGAAUAGGCUGCUGUGAUGGCAAGUAGGCCGCGGGAGCGCCAUGUUGGAAAACGCUGCGUUGGUUAUUUGAGCAGCACACAAGGAGAGACCCAACCAUGGCCUCUCAGCGGCGGUUUGUGUGGUUGUUGGCGUCCCUAAAACAUCUGAGGAGAUAUAAUGCCAUCUGGAGCUAGCAGCUGAUCGAUUAUGGCUGUACUACAAUCAAGCUGAGGAUUCCCUUCAAUCAAGUUGAGGAUCGCUUCCGUCAAGCUGAGGAAUCGCUACAAGGUGCCUGGCGGACCCCGCCCAACCCAUCAAAGGUUGGUUAAGUCAAAGAACUGUUCCAAUGGCGGGUCCAGAAGACGUCUCAGGGUAGGAGCUGUUGCGGGUUUUGCUGUGCUAUGUCGCUGAUGCUAUUGUUUGACGGCCAACGCUAGGCCUCUUGAUGUGCUGGUUUGGUUUGAUUCUCUGCUGAGAGUCAAUGAGCUGAGAAGGAUUUUGCUGUUUUAAAUCCUUCUUUCUUUGGGUUUUAGUGUUUGAAUCAGUUGCUGUGGUCUUGUGACCUGUGGGAAAUACAUUUUUUGAGGCUGUAGGAAGGGAUUCAGCUUAGGCUUUGUUUUAUUUAGUUAAAAGCGAGUACAACGAAUGGGUCGCUCUUUUCCAUGCAGAAUGUUCCACUCAUGAAAACACGGUUGGGUAUGUGAAAUGUAGAACUUCUGAUCUUUGUAACAAAAGGUGGUGUUUUAGGUGUUUGUUUUCACAUACAGUUUGGUCGGGUGUGUGAAAACAAACCCUACAAAUGGGUAAAAGGUUAGUU